GAUGAAGAACGAAGCGAAAUGCGAUAAGUAAUGUGAAUUGCAGAAUUCAGUGAAUCAUCGAAUCUUUGAACGCACAUUGCGCCCAUUAGUAUUCUAGUGGGCAUGCCUGUUCGAGCGUCAUUAAGUCCACUUAAGCCCUGCUUAGUGUUGGGAGACUGCUCCAGCGGUGCUACCCUGUAGCUACCCUGCAGCUCCUCAAAGACAGCGGCGGAGUUGUGGUAUCCUCUGAGCUUAGUAACUUGUUCUAGCUUUCGAGUACACCACUUCCCCUGCCGUAAAACCCUUAAUUUUUAAUGGUUGACCUCGGAUCAGCUAGGAAUACCCGCUGAACUUAAGCAUAUCAAUAAGCGGGGA
rnacentral:misc_RNA from 1 species